ACUAAAGUAAGCUGGAGUGUGUGUGAGACAGCGGGAAGAGUGAUGAGUAACAAGAGAGAGCCUGUAAAAGAGAAAUGAGGAGUAAAAGUAAGUGAAAAGAAACAGGCAAAGAGGACGAGAUUUGUGUGUGCGAGCCAGAGAAGAAGAAAAAAAAAAAGCGCAGAAAGACAGAGAGACUGUGUGUGACAUAAAAAAGAGGGAGAGAUGCGAAAAACAAGAAAGAGAGAGAGCGAUCAUAUGAGAUACACGAGGAGGAAUGUGUUAAAGCGUAAAAAAAAGAGGUGAAGUGAGAGACUUAAGUGUAAGGAUAAGUGUGUGCAUAAGUGAAAACGAGAGGAAGGGGGCACACAAGCUCAGGGAAGUGUCCUCCUGUUCAAACUUGUCCAACUCACAUCUGGAGCCAAGUGCUGAAAGGCCUGGAAGUUACAUCUGUGGCUUCCAACGGUCAGGAAGGUCUGAGCAAAGAGAUCCUGGACACCAAAUAAUUCCUGCACUCAGAUUAAAUUUCCACUUCCUGCCCACUCCCACAGGCUCAGGUCAGCCAGUCCCCAGGACGUCUUCUUCUAUCAUCAGUGUAGAGGAGUCUGCAGAAAACACACUGUACUCAUACUUUAUAAAAGGUAUUGAAACUCAUGAAUAUAUUUGACAAAAGUAAAAAUUUGACAGUAAAAACCGCUCGGCUGAAUGAGAUUUCAGAAAGGUUCCCUGUAGACUAAUGAAACACCGAAGAGCUCUGCAAUACCUUUAUUAAAUCUGACACUAAAGUCCGCUGUUGAUACUACAGGAGUGUCCUAAUGUUAGGCAAAAUCAAUCAAUCAGUCAGUACGUUUAAGACACCCAGAUAAUGCGAUUGGAAUUCGAUUUUCAGCGUAGUUGGAGUAUGAUAGGACAAUGCAUGUGCACCACAAUCCCCGGAGAGGUGGUGUAGCGUGCAUCUCAUCUGCAGAAAAAGUAGUGCAUACAUCAUGUACGACAAAAACGAUGCCGUACGAUGCUCCAUGUUCUUGCUCCAAAAUGCCCAGCAGUAGUUGUAGCCACUUCUGACGUCUGGCAUGGACCAGCUGUUGUUGUUGACAGUUGUAUGAGGUCAGAAACAGCGCUGCUCAAAAGACCCAUAUCGCCCAUAUUGGGGAGGAGGACACGUUCAUGUCAAUAAUUUGAUUUUCUUAGCUGCAUGUAUAUGCGGACAAGUAGAGAAGUACAAUUCGGCAAAAAAACUGAAUUAUGAGCUUAGUCCGAUUCCAAGCCGAGCAUGUAAACGCACCGAGUCUUUAUAUGUGUUAGCCCAAGACACUAAAGCUGGUCUAGACCAGACUCUAUUAGAUCGAGUGUAAAGGGGGGUGAGAGGUUAGAUUGAGCCCCAUCCUGUAAGAUCAGACCCACUCCUAUCUCAUCCUCAACCACACACAGAUGAAACACUAUGAAGUUACAGUGGAGAGGAAGAACUUCCUUUAACAGGCAGAAACCAUAAGCAGAACCAGACUCCUGUUAGACAGUCAUCUGCUAAGACUGAUCUGAGUUUAGAGAGGAGGGAGAGGGAGAUGGACACUGACGUUUGUAGCUGAAGCAGCUGAAAAGCAGGCAGGUCCAAGGCAGAAAAACAUCUGCAGCAGCAAUCCAGUCUCUUACACUCCAUCCGAGUCCAAUGUAUUCCUCCAGAGAAGUUUUACGAACCCUCUCCUGUAUGAGUCAAAGUCCUGAUUUCUAGAAAUCCAGAUGAUCGAGUUAGGAGACAGUGCUACAUGACUCCAAGAACUUGUCAUGUUUUCUAUCUGUGAGUUUUUACCUCACCUCAUCUUGAACCUGGAAACCUGCUGGAAAGUUGGUGCAACAAUCCUCAAAUUAUCCUAUUUUUUAUUAAAAGUGCUGUUUCUCUUUCCUGGUAACUUCCCGUUCUUUAAAUCUACGGUUAUUUGAUCACGACAUGCAGAAGAGCCCAUCCCUCUGCAAACGAUCAGACGAUCUUAUGAGUAAUAGAGAAUUCAAAGCGUGAAAAAAAACAGAGUCAUAAAACUAGAUAUGAUAUUUAUUUGAUAUGGAAAUGUUUAUACAUAUGCAUUGCAGCUUAUUAAUUAUUCAUAUUGUCUUGUUUUUUCCGAUUGUCUGUGAUAUACAUUAUGUAUUCUCUUCUUCCGACAGACGCAUCUUUGAAAUGGGGAGAAGAAAGAGGUAAAAAGAAAAAAGGAAGGAUCAGUUGGUGUCUCUCACUUUGACUACAAAAGAGUGAAAGAGGAAAAACUUCAUUAUAUGGGCAAGUGACAGGAAAUGUGGAGCACGACGACAGAGAGACUCGCAGAAUAAGGACCUUUUUUUUUUUUUUACCACCUCUGUUUCAUGUCUGUCGCUGAAAAACAAAGAAGGCGUCUCUGUGGACCCCACUAUCCAUAACACAUACACAUACACACUCAGACAUGCACACACUCACACUGACCCCAUAUCUCACAAACAAUGCCACCAACCAUCAGCUGUCAUCUUUAUUCAGUGUCUUAUUCGCUCCAUAAUCACCAGUACAGACAGUGAAACAGAAAGUUAAUGCAUUAAAUACUGGUGUCACUGUUCACUCUGCUUUAUGACACUUAAAUAAAACAUCACUCUGCAUAUCAUAGCUUUAGACUUCAGGUAAAUACAGCUGAUAAUGCUUUUAAACAAAUAUUGAGUGUAGGGCUCCACUUCUAUUUGUUUUAAAAUUAGGUCACUUUUUUGUUCGCUUUUAGAAAUGUGUACUCACUCGCAGAGGAUGAAAUUGAGAAAUAAAUCACAAUUAAAUGAUUUAUCAUUUCAUUUUGUAUGCCUGCCUGAUUAAAAGCACUUUGAAGAUUUAAAUAAAACAGUUUUUUAUUUUUUAUUUUUUGGAAAGAGAGAUGCUACAGUGUUAAUCUGAGAUUUCUCCCUCCUAUUUCCCCUUUGAGAGUGUUUGUUUAUAGGUGCAUUUGUUUUUCUAUCCACACCUAUGAGAAAUGUGGGUUAUUCAUUUAUUUGUUUAUACUUGAUUAUUUUUAUUUUUUGAGAUAUUUGUCAACAGUAAGUGUUAUACCCACAUGGGAUGCUCCUUUGUGGAGAAUCUCGCUGGAGAACCAGAACAGGGCCAGACCAUCAACGACUGGACCACGUGAGCAAGCUCCUUUUAACAAACUCAAACUAAAACACUGUCCGUUUAGAUGUACCCUUAUAUUUAGAAAAUUUCACCACUUCACUUCUGUUCAUUUGUUUGAUGCUGUUCUGUGGGUUUUUUUUCUGUUGGGCCAUUAUGUUGGUUUUUGGCUUCUCUGCUUUUGGUGAACUCUUCCUUUUUUUCCCCUUCAAGCUAUUACUAUUAUUAUUAUUAUUGUUACUUAUUUUUAACUGCAAAUGUCAUAAGGGGCAACAGAGUCAGUGACUUUAUUUGAACACUAGUUUCAAAACUCCUGAUAGUUCCUUAAAGGUUUAAGUGUGAUCAAGAAAUUUGUUUCCCUUUUGUCCGUAGUUUAUUUCACUUCACCAGUUUAAAGUAGAUUAGUCGUUUAAUAGUUACUGUUAAAGUCGAUAUACAGUUGUCUCUGGCAUUGUCUCUGCAGAGUGACACACACUGUACAUGUGGAAGUGAAACCUUAGUAAGAAUUAAUUCAUACAUUUGCUCCAUGACUUUUAAAUUCUUUUUAAAAAACGUUUGAAUGUUUUUUACAGAUUGUUUAUAGAGAGUGUUACAUAUUUUCAGGUGUCCUGGGACCAGUUUGUGAUAUAGAAAGAGAAUUAGGAGAAAAUCAUGGAGUGUACAAAGAGUUCAGGAGUGGCUAAAGGUAAUCGAUCACUAAUAUGUUGGAAAUUUAUCAGAUGUAUGUAUGUAUUAUAUGUAUUAGGAAUUCUUUCUUCUGGCAUGAUUUGGGUUGAUAUUACAACUGUUGACAUUGUUUCUGCUCUUAAAUCCAGUCAUCGACAUAGGUCAACAAAAUUACCUUGAUUGUUGAAGGGAAUCAACAGCCCCUCAUAUCUUUACACAGACAUGAUUACCACUUUUUGUAUUACAAUCACAUGAUUUUAAACGUAUUUAUAAGGUAUUUUUGAAAUGUACUGUCCUUUAAUUUUGUCCUUGUAUAUCUGCUGUUUCUGUGGUUUUAAAAUCACAUUGUGACUGAUUUUUAUAUGGUCAAUAAAACUCCUUUUUUGCUCUUUGCCUCUACACAAAUAAUGAAUACUAAUUUUAAGAAGAAAGAGAAGAAAUUAUAUUAAAAAGUGUUUUGUAUGGUUGUAUGUUAAAACAAAAGCAUGGCAGAGUGAUCAUAAGCAGCUUCAGAGCAACAUCCUCAUCAUCCAUGCUCUUAGCUGCUUUGAAUAUUUCAGCAGCUGCAUUAAUCCCUUGAUCUGGUAAACAAGGAUCAAUAACAUUGAGUCAGUUUCCUCACACGCCUGCACUCUCUCGGUUUCUAUAGUAAUGUAAAAUGUCAGUUAAGGCAGCUCUGUUGUGCUUAAAUGCACCAUGCAGAAUCAGUGGAUGUGGUUUACUGGCUGAGGUCAGAGUGGGGUUAGGUGUGUGUGUGUGUGUGUGUGUGUGUGUGUGUGUGUGUGUGUGUGUGUGUGUGUGUGUGUGUGUGUGUGUGUUGGGAGGGGGUGUUUUGACUGGCCAAUGCCUUUUUUCUUUUUCUACAUUUUUGAUGCUGACUGCUGUGCUGGUGUUAUCAGGUCCCAUUGGGAAAUGUUUCCAACAUCAGUCACUGAGUGUGUGUUUGUGUGUGUGUGUGUGUGUGUGUGUGUGUGUGUGUGUGUGUGUGUGUGUGUGUGUGUGUGUGUGUGUGUGUGCGCGUGCACUAGGGUGUGUUUCUGUAUAUAUCUGUUUCUGUAUGCAGAAAUAUGUGUGUCCCAGUGUGUCUGUGUGUACCGACAGCACAGUAAUCUGUAGGCGGGUCAUCAUUCUUAAUGCAGCCUGUGUCAUCAGUUCCCGUGACAACAGGGGGAAUGAUGUGGCCGAUACAUAUGAAACAGGGUGCCAUGCAUAAACAUAGAGGCUGCAGGAGGAGGAGGAGGGCGAGGGCAGCGCGGGGCCGAGGUUAUAUGGGGGAUAUGUGUGUAUGUGUGUGUGUGUGCGCUACCUGGACCUCUUUCUAUUCCAGUUUAUUAUUCAUGAGCCCCCCUCCCUAUUGCACUGUCACUAGCCCCUCCCCCUCACAGUAUAUGUGUGUACGUGCAUGUGUGUGUUUGUGUGUGUGAUGGAUAGUGACAGCAUCAAUGGAUGGUAGAUCAGGAUUAAGAUCAAACACAGCUCAACGUCACUCUCUGUCAGGUUCACUGGACAUGUUUGGCCACACAUGCCUACAAAUAAAAACACACACAAACACUUACAGGUCAACAAACGCACUCGAAAAACAAGAGUUAAAAAUACUGAUAAAAAAAGAAAAAAAACAGUUAUCACAUUCAGCUUCAAAGUAUAUGUUAACUUUGUUGUCAUGUUUUUGUCACUAGUGAAUCUUUAAAUAAAGGGUGAUUGUUUCAUGAGGCGGGCUAUGCAAACCACCAGUGAUAGUGUUUUGAAGAUGAAGGUAUAAACUGGCCACAGUGUCAAAGUACGUUGUUAUUUCCAAUUUCAAUUUAUAUUGCAUCAUGUUGUCACCUGGCGCUCUCAAUCUCUCUACUCAUAAAAGGGGGUUUAUGAACACUGCGUCCUAACAUCUAUAGUUUGUCAAGCGUGUGUGUGUGUGUGUGUGUGCGCGCCUACAUUUGUGACAAUGUGUGCCCCAUACUCACAGGAAGUUUGUAGUGGGGGGGACACUUGGCUUAUUUGUUCUGGGUGAGCACACAUACACGUUGAACCACACACACACACGUGCACAGAGCAGAGGCGGUGAAGGCAGUUAUGGCCUCCUCUCUCCUCGCACGGCAUUCCAAAGGGAGAUGUUUUCAAUUCAUUCAUUAUAGAGGGGUCACACUGGGUCAAGUUCAAUGCCAGGAAAAAAAAGAGCGGCUACAAUGAGGGGAAAGCCACCCACACACACACACACAUGCGUGCACACACAUGUACACACACAAGCGUACACAAUAUCCAAUGUAGUAAGCACAGCACUAGCAGAAUUAUUGCUUGCUGAGCUUGGGAUCUGGUGUAAAUACACCAAAAAUUAGCCUCAUUGUGUGUAUUUUAACAGGAGAGACAUAAGAGUGGGAAUAAUAGGAUGGAAGGUGAUGAGGGGGUGGAUGAGGUUGAGGUGGGGCAUUGGUUUGGUGUUGAGAGGACUGGACAGUAAACAUGUCAGAGCAGAUGGGUAAUGAUGUUAUUAGUAUGCAUCACAGCCUCUCAGUCGCACACACAUCAAAACACACACUCUCCCUUUUUUCACAUCUUUUUCUAACGCCACUCUCCUUGGCCUUGUCUCUUACCCCCUUUUGUGCUCUGGCAAAUGUAGACGUUAUAUAAGUUUAACUCACAGCAAGUAGCUCAAGUGUAAUUAGGGAUACUUACACUUUAGCUAACAGUACAUGACUGUUUUCCUGUAUCAGGGAUCUGAGAUGCUGUUACAAACCUGUGAGAGGGAAAAAGAGGGAGAGGUGUGUACAACAGCAACGCUCACAGAUGACUGUGUUUUAACCUUAUUUCAGGGCUAAUGUAGCCUGAACAGGUUGUUAUAAUAGGGUGGAACUCUAAAUGGGCCUCAGUUGGACUCAUCCUACUGGCAUCUUCUGCUAUAAAAACAUACUCAGUAUACAUAUUCAAUAGCUCUACAUUUUACACCAAAUAUUGCUCUAGAAAGUCUGUAGCUUCUAAAAAACAAAUAAAAAGUGCUAACUUAUGGUGCAUUUUGACCGACUGGUCCACUGGGUAUGUUUGGUACAGUGAACCUGGGUCUUUAAAAGCAGACUGUAGCCUGGCCCUUGUUGCAACAUAAGACAGCUUGAUUUCCAUCAUUUAAAUAUGUUACCAUAUUUGACUUUUUUUUGCAAUCCUUGCGUGGAUCUCAGCCAAAAAUAAACAGAAAUGAAGCUGCAAGUGUCGAUAGAUGGGUCCUCGCACUUUUUGCACAUGUUGGACCUGUAGCAGCUGUGGCUGUGCAGUACAAUGUACCUGCAGCUAUGACUUCGCAGGAGUAGGAGUUUUUGGCUUAAUAUACUGUACGUCUAGCAAAAAACACGCACGUUAUUUGGACCCAUUGGCUAUCGCUAAAAGUUUGAAAAUUAUAGGGGACACUGCAGAGCUCUUUUUGGGAAUUUUCUCCACAAAACCAAUGAAUCAUCUUUUUUUUUUUUUUUUCCAGGCCUGAUACGUUAACAGAAAAAUGGUAAGUUUUGAGAGCAAGUCAAGGCCUCCAAAACUAAAACCAUUUUGGCAGGAAGGAAGGAAGACUCCAGCUGUCUCGCAAUACCGCUUUACGCAUCGCUCCGAAAAAUGCAGCCAAGUGGUUGUUGAUGAGGGACCGUGAAGCCGAUCCGGAUCGAACUGGUGAAAACCAAACACAGAUCUGGUGAAAUUCUGAGCCAGCAACAACAAGUCUCAGAUUUUUGUUCCCCUUAACUCUUAAGGUUGCUGUUGAAGAAAACGUGUAAAGAGACAAGUUUUUUGAGAAGAUUUAAGAUAAGAGAAACAAAUAACUUUAUUUAUCUUUGAGGGAAAAUUCAAAAAGACAUCGAGAUUAUACGUAAAAUGAAAAUUCAUUUAUUCUCUUGUUUAUCAUUGGCUAACACCCCCAAACCUCACUGGAGCCCAAAUGAUUUUCUUUAUUCUAUCAUUGAACAGUCUGCUUGGUAACAGAGUUAUUUGUUUUGUUUUGAAAGUGGUUCAUACUCUGAAAACAGGGUGAGGCCUCUGCUUACACUGACGUAAAGCUAAAUCUUGGGCUGGUAUUUUUGUGUUUUUUAAUGUCAGAUGUCCAAACCAGUUUGCUGAAUCACUCCUCAGUGACUUCUUUUAGAAAGUUUGGGGUUUAUUGGAGUUGGUCCUGACAAAAUUUCACCCUCUUAUUCUGCUUUUGGCUGAGCGUCACAGCUCCAUUGUCUUCUGGGGCGGCUGGAGUAUCGUCUUGUCGGGCUCUAAACCACAGAUGGUCAUUCUGAGUGGCCGGUCUGGUCAACUAAACGGCCAGCCAGCGGCCUUUUUCUUGGUUUUCAGACCUCAUUAUGGUGACACAGCGAACCACAAAUUCAUGAGAAGCUUUUGGACGAGCCGCAGCGUGCACAGAAAAAGAGAUUUCUGUUCUUCUCGCAGCUGUUGUGAAUCUUUUAACCGCAGAUGCUUCAAAACACUGGCUGCAGUAUGACAUCGAGACUCUUUGUUGUGGCAAGUUUUUGGAAAUCAAACAUGCAGAGCAGGUUUCUAUUAAACAGGACUCAUAAAUAAAGGUUAAACACAAUGGUUAAGCUUUUAAAAGUGUCCUAACAUUACACUGGGUGGGAUUCAUGCCUCCUUAGCUGAGCCCACCGCUAAGGAGUGAGUCAAAAAGUGCUUUACUCCGCCUCUGUCUGCUUUUUUCAGAUAGUUAAUGUUCCAUUUUCAGGCUGGCUGCAGCACCAUCUUCAUCAGAGACAGAAAAAACAGGAGUAAUUAAAAUGUCUUAACUUGUAGCUUAAUUACGAGCCAGCCACUGAAUCUCUUUGUCACUUCUCUUCUCUCCUGGUUCGCCCCUUUUGCAUAAAACAAUAAAACCUCUGUUAAAAAUGUAAUUUGCUCUUUGUUAAGAUUAGAUUCAGCCUCUUCUUUUCCUUGUCUAAGUUGAAACGUUGAAUCAAAUCAAAGAACAACACACUUCUCCUCUUUCCCCCCCAAUCUUUUACUUCUGAACAGCCUCCCCUUCUUGAGAUUCCUCCACACUGUAGCCAUGGAAAUGGGACUUUGGGGAUGAAAGGAAACCAUAAUUUUGUGGCGGGAUUAAUUUGGAGACAUGAGCGAUGCCAAAUGAAAUCCCUGUCAAAACCUCUGCUGAUUCUUUUCAUCGCCUGCAGAUCCCUGAGAAAUCUGUUCCCCGUGGCGUUUAUGAUUUGACAGUCCAGUAGUUUUGGACUUAGUUCCCCCCUGAUACCUCUGACAUGUUGACAUUAAGUGGUUUCUGAGACAGGCAGCACCCAUAUUUCAAUCACCAUUAAGCAAAGGAUAUUUGGUGUUAGUUUGAAUAGGAAAAAAGUGCCGGUGACAAACAGACAUUCACACAUACAACAGCAGGCAAACAACAGUAAUUACAUUAGAGGGGGAGCAGCCAGCGCAGCCAUUUCCUGGGAGUGCGGGGAGGUAAAUAUAGUCCACAUCUGACCCUAAGAACUAUCCAAGAACACCGGACGGAUUGUUUACAAGUGUCCUUGUCGAAUGUCCUUUUCUCCACAUCAGGUCUGUCAGAUGGAAAAACUUUGUACCAUCUCGCCACUUUUUACUUUGACAUGAAGGUAGCCCGUAACAAGGAAGGACGGAAAUAGAGAUAAUAUCAUCAAAAAUAUGGACAUUUUUGUUUUGUAGAAUAGGGUCAGAAUUUAUUUUCAGACCAGUAUCUUUUCGGUCAAAUCAACUGUUGAUGUCAUUGACUUCAGUUUAUCUCCAUCAUUUUUUUUCCUGUGAACACAUCCUACAUACCAAUUACCCCAAAUUACUUCAAACUAUCAGCACAAACAUGUCUUGAAGUUUUAAUGCGUACACUGAAAUUUUACAAAGUUUACAAAAGUUUUAAAACCUCAUGUACAAAUAUAAUGUACAGAUAUAAAUUCAAAUAAUUGUACAUUUUCCGCAAAAUAAGGUGAAUUUCCUUCAUAUGCUCACAAAAACAGGAACUGUUCACAUAAUUCUAAAAAAAACUCUAAGCAAAACUCCUCUGGUCUCAUUAUUCUAAAUCACAGUCUCAGAAAUCUCUGAUUGCGAAUCACACCUCUCCCAUUUUGUUCACCAGCUGCUUGGUUAGGGAGAAGAUUACCGCUGAUACAGUCCUCCAACCUGAUAGAGGGUGAUUUGGUUUGAUAUAUUUUAUGAUUUUUUACAAUUCUUUGUCAGUUUAACCGAAAACUUUGUAUUACAGAGCAAAUGAAUAUCUUUUUUUAGAGCCGCUGGUGUAUUUUCUUUGAUUUAUUUAGUAAUAUGACCAUUUCCACCACAUUCUGCUGACCUAUGUGACUACGAGUGCUGCACAGUCCUGAAACAUGCAUGUGUACAGACUAAUUGACCUUUUUUCAUCAGCAGUGGUAAUUGACUUUUCUCACUUUCAAUACAGCUGUUUGAUAGAAGCCAAGUUUGAGGAAGGAGACAGUCCUGCAUUUUCAGAACAACAGCCAAUCAAAUGCAAGACAUCAUCUCAACUUGUGGGGUUCAAAGCAAGUGAUAAAAAUGCUGUGCAGUUUUUCUAGUAAUUUUUAGAGAGCUUUUGGCUUACAGAAUUCAGUAAGGUGUUCUUCUACUCCUAGAAAAGUGUAGCUUAAGCUGUUAUGAGCAUAAUUUUGUCAAUUUCAGCUCUUAAAAGUGCCAGUAAUAGUCCCCCGGGGUUAACCUGUGAGAUGGUUUUCGGUCUUAUUAAUCCACAAGAGCGCCGGUGUUUCAGACAUCUGCAUGGUGAUGCAAAGUUUUGUGAUGUUGCUCUUAAAGUUUGAAGAAAGAAAAAAAAUGUCUUACUCUUUUCAUUUCCUUCAGAUAAAAGUAAAGUACUGAUUAUGUAGAAAACCACGGAUAGCCAAAGUAAAACAGCGUUAAGUAAAAAUUGAUCAUCAUUAUUAUGCAAACCAUGAUCAUGUUAAGCAUCUCAAACACUGUUAUCCGAAGAAAUACUACUUUUUAUUAGGGCAAAUGCACAAAGAAGUCAAAAAUAUUUCAAGAAUAUGAAAUAAAUGCAGGACCCCUCAGUGAGAAACUAGGUCCUACCCCUCCUCAUCCAAAGUCCUAGACGCCCACAAACCACACCUUGCAUGAACAUGUUUGUGCAUCAGACAGAGGAGGUAUGAACGGCUCCUACUCGCUCAAUUCAAAUUCUACCAGCAUUUGUGUGCACACUCACACACACACAUUUUUGCACACACACAAACGCUCAGAAAACCCAAACACAGCAUCCCACAUCAACUGGGACUUUAUGAAUCUCAUAUCUUCCGGAUAUACCUGCAUACUACAUGGCUUACUGCCUAUCCACCUGAAAUCCAACCAAACAAAGAAAUUUAUUCCCUCAGUAGAAGUCUCUCUUUCUGGAGGCUUUGCAACCACCAGCUGAGCUCCAUUUAAGCAAACUUCCAAUUUUAGAGCUUGCAUUCAAUUUGAGACCUGGAGACAUCAGAUCUAACAAGCAGGCAGGGAAGCCAUCACUAUUAGGACUUUAUGUUGUUUAUGUUGUGUCAAUUUUUCAUCUCCUUGGUCUCUGCUGUAUUAUCAAGCUGUGCUUUGCUACCUGAAGACUGUUCCUCUGCCGCUACAGAGGAAAAGUUUGAUGCUAAAAACUUCCUCUGAGUUUGGGGGUUUGGGGCUGAGAGAAUGAAAGGUGAGGGCUGCGCAAGACGGGGAGAGUAAGGUCAGCCCACAGCAUGCUAACUCCUGCAAUAUCUGGCAAGUUGCAGGCUUUCCGUGAGAUCAGAGCAGCACUUUUUCCUCAAUGCUUUUGCCUUCAUCAUCCCGAAAGUGACAUGCAGCUCUCCUUUACACACCCUCCCUCUAAACGCAGAUUAAAGAUUUUGCCUGUCAAGGGUGCACAGUCGCUGCUAGACAAGCCAACAACUUCCCUCUGAUUUAACUUUCAUAUCUUUUUACAAACCAGCUGCCAUACAUUAUUGAUGAUGUGUGAGGUCAGGACAAGAUCACAACAAGAAAAGCCACUGCCCACACGCUCGCAUCGCUCGCCCUGACAAAACACACCGCGUACACACACACACACACACACAUACGCAGACGGUCCAUGUUUUCCAUCUCAAGACCAGAGUUUCACCUGGACUUUGUCUGUUCUGCAAACACACCCUGUCCAUCGGUACAGAGUUGGUCGGGUGAAGGGGGCUGUCCCUUUGAAAUGAUAAGUAGAGUCUUCCGACACUGAGGGACUGUCAUUGAAGUCUUUGUUUGCCCAUCGGCGGCUCAGAGGCGUCUGUGAACUUGAGGGUCGGAGCAGAAUAGAAAUGACCAUGUAACCUACUUCGAGGUCACCUAAUAAGGGAAAUGUAUUCAUAUAUUUUCCUGGUUGUAUUAGUUCGUGCAAUAUGCUUCGCUUUGAAGCCCAAGGUUGCAGGUUCAUUUUUGAAGUGGUUUUCAAUCAUCCCUUGGCAUUGAAGUUUCUUUUGUGCAUUGAAUCUGGGCUUCAGAGGGCUACAGGUCCUGUUCAUCCUCAGAAUAUCUACAUACUGGCUAUAGCCCAUGAGAUUCUUUUAAUUGUUCUCUGUGUCACAGGUGAGGGAGUUUCUAGGAAUUUAAAUACCCACACAUACAGAAGAGCAGUCAUAAAAAGUCCCACAAACUCUAUCAAGUGGAUAUUUAGGACAGGCUGCAUCUGUGCGAGUCUCUUUUUCUGUCCAGCCGUCCAUCC